CGGGUGAGUAACGCGUAGAUAAUGUGCCCUCUUGCGGGGGAUACCGUUUCGAAAGGAACGUUAAUACCGCAUAACACGAAUUUCAGGCAUCUGGAGUUCGUCAAACUUCCGGGGCGGGAGGAGCAGUCUGCGUUCUAUCAGCUAGUUGGUGGGGUAACGGCCUACCAAGGCGACGACGGAUAACUGGUCUGAGAGGAUGAUCAGUCACACUGGAACUGAGACACGGUCCAG
rnacentral:rRNA from 1 species